CAUCGACCUCUGCCCCCAUCUCCUUCUCCUCCACCUUUGCCUCCAUCUCCCCUGCCUUUCUCCUCUUCUCCGCCCCCGACCUUACUUUCUCCUCCAUCUCCGCCCUCUAUCGCCCGAGCUGCCCUAGCCGUCACCCUGUAGCCCCUUCUUGUCUUCCUUGCCCCUCACGCUUCUUCACCUUCCUUCAACCUCUCACCUCCUUCAGCUGCCCCUCGCCCUGCCUAUCAAGCAAUCUGCAACCUCUCCGCCUAGCAGCUCCUCAGCUUCCUCUUCUCCUCUCCUUAGCAGGAACGACAGCUCUCCGCAGCAGCGACUCUUCCGCAUCUCUGUCGAGGCCACCAGCAGACCAGUCGUAGCUUCCAUUGCAGCCCAGCAACAGCUUCUCGUCGAGGCUCCGCCAUGCGUAAACUCUACUCCGAGGUUAACUGGACCAUGGGGACCUGUCUAUUGGUUUUGGUUCUAAUAAUGCGAUAUGCAUCACUAUCGAAACAGAACCAUUGUUUCAAUAAUCAUAUCUGAUGUUGAUGGGACAACAAUCUGCAACCCAUUUGAUGCUUAACACUCAUGAGAAUCCAGCCAAUGAAGCGGAGUCCCAGACUCUAUGGAACUAGACGGUGAUGCAUCUUCUCAAGUAUUGCAUAACUUCGAUGGGAAGAGUAGUGUGCAUGAUAGAAGACUAGUUAUUUAGCAAGAUGUCAUAGUUGUAUUUUGCUUUUACAGUCGAUGUAAUAAUCCCUGCUUCAUUUUAUGUUUAAUUGAAAGCUUUUCCUGCUUGAACUGUAAAGAUAUUUGAAGAGAUGUCAUGUUGUGGCUAAGAGACCCGCCAGAUCUCUUUCUUUCCAUCACAUUCUUCUUGUGAAAGUGUCAACUGUUCUUCCAGUUUUUCAUAAAAGCUUUGUCACAACUGUGGUUGUGACAUUCUGAACUGGUUCAUGUAUAUUUGAUUAAAUGUAUGCUUUUACUCUUUACAAGAAGAGUUCAUUUGAAAUGAAGG